UAACAUGGCAUAAACGUAGACUGUGACGUGGAUACCAUAUCAGCAAAGCUAGCAGACGUUAACUUUUUCAUCCAUUUUGUGAUAAUUUGACAAACAAUACAAAUUUUAAAACUAAAAGAGAUGAAAAAUUAAAUGUAGAAGUAAAAUAAUUUAUUUUUUUAUGCCUUGUUAUUUAAACGAAACUACAUAUGAUUUUUUAUCCUAUUAUCCCCA
rnacentral:lncRNA from 1 species